GGGCGAUUGGCGCAGUGGUAGCGCGCUUCCCUGACACGGAAGAGGUCGCUGGUUCGAACCCAGUAUCGCCCACGA
rnacentral:tRNA from 1 species